rnacentral:rRNA from 1 species
GGGGGAUAUUGCACAAUGGAGGAAACUCUGAUGCAGCAAUGCCGCGUGAGGGAAGACGGUCUUCGGAUUGUAAACCUCUGUCCUUGGUGAAGAUAAUGACGGUAGCCAAGGAGGAAGCUCCGGCUAACUACGUGCCAGCAGCCGCGGUAAUACGUAGGGAGCAAGCGUUGUCCGGAUUUACUGGGUGUAAAGGGUGCGUAGGCGGCUCUUUAAGUCGGGCGUGAAAGCUGUGGGCUUAACCCACAAAUUGCGUUCGAAACUGGAGGGCUUGAGUGAAGUAGAGGUAGGCGGAAUUCCCGGUGUAGCGGUGAAAUGCGUAGAGAUCGGGAGGAACACCAGUGGCGAAGGCGGCCUACUGGGCUUUAACUGACGCUGAGGCACGAAAGCAUGGGGAGCAAAC